AGUUAUGAGACUCUAUCUUUUAACAAAUCAUGAUUUAAUGCUCAUACAGUAAAACGCACUUAAAACGAAAUACCAAGGACAGGCGAUUUUGCUUCCUUAUAAGCUUAAUUCGUUAUAUCUGUCAAGUUUACAACAUAUAAUAAAGUCACGGGGAAUGAAAAUUACUUCGCUGUAAGCGUCAAUUCAUUAUAAACGUGUUCGCUAUAACGGUGUUUUACUGUAUUUACAUGGCAUCCAAGCAUUAGUAAAGGCGAGAAUGCCCUGGGUUUAGAGAAUGUCAACAAUCAUGUUUUUGAGGCACUGUUUUGCUUUGAGUCGUAUUUUAUUUAAAGAGGUACAUUUUAUGUAUACCAAGUAUACAUGCAUUUAACUUUUUUUGAAACCAAACUUUUAUUUAAAAAAGAUCUUGAUACAUGUACAUGUUCAUUAAAUAUAAAGGUAUUUGAUAUUUUUUUUUUACUUUUAUACGUAUAUUGGACCAUAGAAUGCAAAAUCUGUACUAAUUGUUGAUUGUAAACUAAAGUGGUGAUUAUAUAUUUUUUUGAUGCUAUGUGAAGUACAUAUAGAUGGCUCAGAUUCCAGAGCUUUCAUGAUGUCUUUAUGUUUCAUUCCACCUAUCAUUUACUCAAAGCAACUGUCACUGAACAAUUGUCACUUUGCAUUUGUACAAUGUAAGAUUGAGUUGCGGAUGUGUUUGAUUUAGAUUUUGGUUGCUUGUUUAGUUAGGUAAGUCUUAUUUGUGCGUAAAUGUGCUUUAUCCACAUUACAUAGUACUGUAAAACAUGCAGUGUCAUUGCUUAAAAAAAAAAGGGGGGGGGGGGUGAAGAUAAUUAACAUAGCGCUUCAGAGCAUUAUUAAUAAAAAUUAAAAGGUCAUUUAACCUCAAUUUUUUCCCCCUUUUUAGACGGUGGCUAUAAAUAGACACAGUCGAUUGCUAUGGUCCUGGCUGGAAGAGUAUUUCUCACGGGGACCCAAGUGGAUACAGAAAUUUUAUAUACUCACCUUUUCCUGUUGAUAUUUUUAAGUUCAUUGAUUUAAUACUUACUAUAUAGUAAUUCUUGGUAAAACAAUAAAAUGUGGUGCAUCAUUUUCAAACCAAAAACAAUUAUAAUGUCUAAAUUUUUUACUUUUUGCUCACAUUGUGGCAUUUGUAACUAACGUUUUUGUGCCAUUUUGACUUGCUCUGUAUGUAUCAUUGUUAAUAAAUGAAUACAUUUC
rnacentral:misc_RNA from 1 species